rnacentral:lncRNA from 1 species
AUGGGUUCCAAGGUGGGAACUUGGGUGUGUCGAGGAGGAUGGGAACGAAGCCAGAGACCAGAAGUACAAUUACUUCUGACACUCUUCACAGGACCACCUGACAUGGUUAAACAGCCCUGGCUUAACGUUCCAGACACUGCUGCCAAUACUUGCGGCUGUUAGUUCCUGAUUUCUGCUUAAGGCUUUGCAGUUCUGCUUAUAGUCCUGUGAUCACACUUCCUCCUGUGGCAGCUGAACUCCACAUUUCCCAAAACAGGAUUUCCCUAUUCUGUAGAGAACUUCCAUGAUUGAAUCUUCCUGCUUCUGGAAAUAAAAUGGGUAGUUCCUUGCAUACAAA